CAGUACUUUUGGAUUGGAAUGGUCUGAAGCCUUGGUUACAUUUUCACUUGCUUGUGGAAGUUGGUCCUCACCUGCUGUAAGUUUGUCAAAUUAAUAUCUAUGAUUCAAUAAAGCAUUCACAUCGGCACAUUGCUAUAUCCUUAUCAUGACUAAAAAAAAGAAAAAGAAAAAUAAACAAAGGAAAGAAGUCAAUACUUACCUGUUCCAAAAGAGCUAUGGUUACAGUAUCUCAUCAUAAAACUUCUUUCACCUUUAGAUACAUGCAAACUAUUACUUUUGACAUGUUUAUGAACCAAGAAUAGCUUUUACAUACCAGUACCUACAAGUUUAUGACUUGGGUCUGAGUCUAAGCUCGAACCCUUCUCAAAAGUAAAAGAAUAGC
rnacentral:lncRNA from 1 species